AUCCAUCUGACGUGUCCCAAAUAGGACGAAACGCGUGUCCUUCAU
rnacentral:hammerhead_ribozyme from 1 species